UGCAAAAGGGAAGAAGUCAAGUGACUGGAAACUUCUGCUCCUCCUGCCUCUGAGAACCAGCUUUAACCUGAACUGGGUUAAAAUUUUGGUGGAAAGGACAAAUGUGGGACUGGUUGUAAACCUGUGAAGUCUUCUGGGUGCAAAAUGAAUCAUAACUGGAUUUAAGAGGAAAGAAUUACUGAUCAGCGCUGGAGAAGGUGCACCUGUUACAGCUCUGUUGAGAAAAGCCAGGGAAAUGCAGUAGAACUAAUCUGCCUGGACUGCAGCAAUAUGCUGGGCUCAGAGCUGUGCAGGACAAGAGCAGGGAGGUCAUCAGCUGGAAAUGAGAGGGAAAGGAAAGGCUUGUCUGUCUUAAUUGCAGGAUCACUAUAAGCCAACAAUAAGGUGUGCCUAGAAUAAUACAAAUGCAAUC